rnacentral:sRNA from 1 species
UGAUCCUGGCGAGAAGCUUAUGAAGAUCCUAGGAAAAGGAUUUUCUCCACGUAUGUGGAGG